CCUUGUGGUAUCAGUCAGUGGAAUCCGCUAACAAAGAACAAUUAGAGUCAAAUAUGAAGAAGGAAGGGGUUCGAGUGGAAACCCUCUCCAGGUUUUGCAGAACCUCUGACAUGACCCUUUGGUACAGCUCUGGAGUACUAGAAAUUCCAAAAGAAAAGGAAAAACAGCAGCAGUCAAAGAAUUAUCCUUCAGAGUACAUGGUUUCCUUCACAAUACAGUUCGUUUUUUAUAUUGCCAGACCUUCUGCUGAAUACUGAAUACAAUUUAACAUUGAUUCUAAAUGUUCUGUAAUUCUUCCCA